rnacentral:snRNA from 1 species
GUGCUCGCUUCGGCAGCACAUAUACUAAAAUUCGAACGAUACAGAGAAGAUUAGCAUGGCCCCUGCACAAGGAUGACACGCCAAUUCGUGAAGCGUUCCAUAUUUUU